GGCGGCCACUUCGGGCUGUGCCAUUACCCCCGUGACCUAAGGGAUCGCGGUUUAGGGUCCCUCCUCCUCUCUCGUUUAGGUCCGGCCUGUGAGUCGCAGUGCGCAUGCGUGAGAGUUCGAGCGGAAAAGUGUUGGUGGAGACCGAGAGUGAUUUUACCUUGAAAAGGAGGGCGGAGGAAGCCGAGCGAACCCGAUCUAAGGCAAGAGGUCAGUGCUGAUGGGAUUUGCUGACCUCACCAUGAGUCCAUCAUCUGGGAGCCGCUGACGAAGGACUGGCCCGGCCAAGCCCCAGUGGGGUGCCGACUAGGAAACACUUUGCAAAGAUGAGGGGCUGUUGUCCAAGUGAAGCUGCUGCGUGCUCCGUGCUCCAUAGCGAAACACGAACAACACAUGGUGCUUCUCUUUGUCAGUAUAAUGAAAUUGGCUGAACCUAUUUGAGGUUGCAGAAAGGAAAGCAUUGACAGUAAGACAGUUGGAGUUUCCUUCUGGAAGUUAGGUUUUUGUUAUUAUCAUCAUCAUCAUGAGGACAAGGUUAUCUGGAAGGCCUGCCGGCUGCCCGAUUUUAAUAAUUCUGAGACUAAAUCCCAACCCAGUGCAACCUCAGCCCCUCUCACC